rnacentral:rRNA from 1 species
GACGAACGCUGGCGGCGUGCCUAAUACAUGCAAGUAGAACGCACAGUUUAUACCGUAGCUUGCUACACCAUAAACUGUGAGUUGCGGACGGGUGAGUAACGCGUAGGUAACCUGCCUGGUAGCGGGGGAUAACUAUUGGAAACGAUAGCUAAUACCGCAUAAUAUUGAUUAUUGCAUGAUAAUUGAUUGAAAGAUGCUAUUGCAUCACUACCAGAUGGACCUGCGUUGUAUUAGCUAGUAGGUGAGGUAACGGCUCACCUAGGCGACGAUACAUAGCCGACCUGAGAGGGUGAUCGGCCACACUGGGACUGAGACACGGCCCAGACUCCUACGGGAGGCAGCAGUAGGGAAUCUUCGGCAAUGGACGAAAGUCUGACCGAGCAACGCCGCGUGAGUGAAGAAGGUUUUCGGAUCGUAAAGCUCUGUUGUAAGAGAAGAACGGGUGUGAGAGUGGAAAGUUCACACUGUGACGGUAUCUUACCAGAAAGGGACGGCUAACUACGUG